rnacentral:rRNA from 1 species
UACGUAGGGUGCAAGCGUUGUCCGGAAUUAUUGGGCGUAAAGAGCUCGUAGGCGGUUUGUCGCGUCUGCUGUGAAAACGCGGGGCUCAACUCCGCGCCUGCAGUGGGUACGGGCAGACUAGAGUGCAGUAGGGGAGACUGGAAUUCCUGGUGUAGCGGUGGAAUGCGCAGAUAGUCAGGAGGAACACCGGUGGCGAAGGCGGGUCUCUGGGCCGAUACUGACACUGAGGAGCGAAAGCGUGGGGAGCGAACAGG